UACGAAGGGGGCUAGCGUUGUUCGGAAUCACUGGGCGUAAAGGGCGCGUAGGCGGCCGAUCAAGUCGGGGGUGAAAGCCUGUGGCUCAACCACAGAAUUGCCUUCGAUACUGGUUGGCUUGAGACCGGAAGAGGUAAGUGGAACUGCGAGUGUAGAGGUGAAAUUCGUAGAUAUUCGGAAGAACACCAGUGGCGAAGGCGACUCACUGGCCCGUUACUGACGCUGAUGCGCGAAAGCGUGGGGAGCAAACAGG
rnacentral:rRNA from 1 species